CUCCUUUGGGGAUUCUUCCGUGCCUCGAAUCAUUAACUAUAUUGGAUGGAUGGAAUCAGAGGUUGAAAAAAGUGGGAGUUGAAUUUUUGGGAAUAGAAUCUGAAAAGAAGAAAGAAGACAUAAAAAUAUUCCCAAAUUUGAAAUAUCUCGAAAUCGAUGGCUUCCCCGAGUGGGAAGAAUGGAUUGGAGGAACGAGAGGAGGAGCAAAAGAAGACGAAGACUGUAUUACUAUAAUGCCACGUCUUCAAAAGUUGAUACUUCGCUCCUGCUGGAACUUAGGGUCGUUGCCGGAUUUCCUGCGUACAACUCCAUUGAAGGAAUUGGAGAUCUUUGACUGCCCAAUUAUCAAGAAACGUUGCCAAAGAGAGACAGGCGAGGACUGGCACAACAUUUCUCACAUCCCAAUCAUCAAAUUAAUUGAUCAUCCUGAGCAUAUGAUGAGGGAUGGGGAUUUGGAUUCUGAAGCGUACUUGGAUUCUGAUACUGAUUGGGAACGUGCCGAGGAUGAGGAAGAUGCUAGUGAUUUUGAGCCAGAGGAGAACGGCAGCGAGGAGGAAGAAAUCGAUGAGGAGGAUGAAGACGAAGAUGGUGGGGAAGGUUGAUGUUCCGGCAAAGAGGAAUAGGUCGGAUAAAGAUGAUUCGGAUGACGAUGAUAUGGUGGAGAGGAUGACGAGAGACCAUCCAAGCGAUAGGAUAGGGGAAAUAAACAAUGACCUUCCGUCAUUUUAUCAAAUUCUGGCAAAACUCACGACACUGUCAGCAAUGGUUUUCUUAAUCGCAUGUUGAUGAAAUCUUGAAAUCUGCGUGUGAGCAAGUCUGAACCAAUAAAUGUGAUGCUUGUUACCCUGAAUAAGCCCUGAAUCCCAGCCACCAGAUCCCGACGACAGAGAAAGAAUGUUCAGCGACAACUUGGGGAUGCAAGCAAGGAUUUUGAACUUCCGUGGAAAUGAAGCUAAUUAAGCUGGGCACAGCCUGUAGUUGAAGUUAUAAGCAUGGAGAAUGGUGUUGUGCACUACAUUGUGGUGUUCCACAGUGAUGAUGAUCUGAACGAUUGGCCUCCAAUUUCAUCUGUUGUAGGUUUAAUGUCCUCUGUUUUCUCAUCAUCAUCGGGCAUGCAUUCAAGAAAAGCGUAAUAGAAGAGAAGUUUAGAAGCGAGCUCUAUCCCAGCCAUAGGAAUCAACCACACCAUAUGUGGGAGCUUUGAGGACAGAAAAAGGAAGUUCAGCGAGCUAUUGGAGAUGCAAGCAAGGAUUCUGAACUGCCUAGUAUUCCCACUUUACAUACUAAUAUGUCCAGUGACCAAAUGUUCUCAGAGUACUUCAAAUAUUGAUCUGAUUCUGUAUUAGAUUCUUUAUUUGACAUGCAAUUUUUUGGUUUCUUUUGCUGCAUUAAUCUGUUGGUAUGAUACUAUGAUUCAAAUCAUAGACAAGGGUAAUUAACAUAGUAAAACAACUCAUGAUAGAACUUACAAGCAUGGAGAAUGGUGUUGUCCACUAUAGCGGUAGGUUUUAUAGUGAUGAUGAUUUGAAAGAUUGACCUCCAAUGUCGCCCUUUUUAGCCGUUAUGUCCUCUGUUUUCUGCCCAUCAUCAGGAAGUUCAAUUGCCUAUACUAUUUCCUGAGUUCGUGGCUUCAGCCUUCCUGCACAGUUAGCAACUUAUUUUCCAAGUACAUGAACCAAAUAAACUCUGGGUUCUGGUAGACUGGUACUGCAUAUCUCAUCUUGACAGUCUAAGCCUAUUGGAGAAGAGUUGUCUAUACUGUUGAAAAUUGUUAGGCAAGGAUGCACCUCAAAAUGAAAUGCACUGAACCUCUUUCAUCAACAGGUUCAUCUUGGUUUGCCAUCCAAACAACUGUGGGAGUUGAGGACUUGUUUAACCAUAUGGCAAAGCAAAAGGCAUUAUCUCCAACAGGGAAGCCCUGGCAGCGAAUUCACCAUUUGCUGAAACCAAUUUGUCAGUUGGUUUCUCAACUGAUAGGGAUGUUCCUCUUAGAGUGUCUAGUGUAUUAGAUGAAGAUGAAGGAAGAAUUUGUAGCAGACAUAGAUCAAGGAAGAAAAUUGAGAUAUCCAUAAGGAAUGCAAGAGCCCAAUAUGGUUUACUAGUUCCUCCUAGUAGCAGCCGGAGGGUAAUACGAGUCAAACAAGUGGAAUCUCACUUGAGAUAGGGAGCAACCCAAAAACCUUGGUGGGAAUGGACCACACACUAACUAAUAUCAGUUGCACAAUCUAAAAGGAUAUGCUUUCAGUUUCAGAAGCUUGGGAUACAACUCAACUUCUACAUUGACAUAUUGGAUUCAAAGUACAAAUCAAUUUAUAGCAGGUUCUCAAGAGUCAAGAUUUCAUUUUCAUGUAUUGACUAUAGAAUAUGUAUUGAUUUAGGGUGUGGGCUUUAGUGCUCUAUAUUUUGGAAAAGUAUCUUAUGAGACUGUUUCAUGAGAAUUUCCUCUCAAAACACAUGUGAGUCCCAUUUAUCACCUAAUACCAUAACAAAAACAAAGUCUUAGGGUAUGAAAUCUAGUGUGCUAAAAUUCUUGGCUUAGUGUUAUAGAUUUGGGAGAUCUAGUACAAAGGUGUGUAGAGUGUGGGGGAGAAUGGAAUGUUACCACCAGGAGUGGAGGGGAUGAGCUGAGAAAUGCCUCUCUUGUUUUUUCCCAGCAGCAGUUGCCCAAUUUUGGAAUGGCAUUCAAAAAUGAACAGACCCCAAUUAGUAACUAAUAUGUUCAAUAAAAAAGAAGGAGGCAAUGAAGCCAUAUUACAAUUGUUUUCUUUGGGCCAUACAAUUCUAAUUCACAUAUAGGUAACUUUAUGUUCUUCUUUUCAUGCUAUUGCAUCUGAUUUUUAAUCCAUGGUCAAUAACUUUAAUUUCCAACCCUUAAGGUUGCAGAAAUGUUUUGGUCUUAUUCAUUUAGAACAUCAUGCAAAAUGUUUUGUUCUCAUUUGGCCUCAUUCAUUGUACACAUUAUGCAAACUUAAAACUAAGAUAGGUAGGUAGGGACUGAAACAGAUAAUUCAGAGAUAGAGAAAGAGAAAUGGGCAAGGCUUUAAGUACAAAAACCCCAAUGCUUAUAAAAAAUAAAUAAAAGCCCUGUUAUCCAUUCAAAGAUGCUACAAACAAGCUUAACCUGUAAUCUGGUUUUCUAUAGCAGUCGAUCUUCAAUGGUGACAUAUGAAAGCAAACUAUUUAAUUUUUUAAUAACUGUACUCAUUCUUCCAUUUAUCGUUUAGUUCUUCAAACUUUUUUUAUUCAACUAGUAAUAAUUUUUUUUAAAGAAGAAAGCGGGGUGCCCUCAUAGCUCAAACCUAUAAUUAUUAAUCAUCUGGUCUUGAUGUUAUAGGGUUAUGUACUUGCCAUCUAUCAAGUUCCUAAGUAAAUAUUUCGUGCUUUUUGCUUUUUUCAGAGGCUUAAAUGUUUCUGAGCAUGGGAGAGUGCAAAGUAUGAGAAGCGAUUACCAUUAGAUAUGUAGAUGUUACAAAUACUUUGGCUUCAUUUGUUGGAUUAAGUAACCAUCUCAAUCCCUUUGGAACUAAUAAUCAAGAUAUGCUUGUGAUUUUUAUUUUGAGUAUUGGAAACAGACACAAGAUCUAUCUUAGAAAGAAAACCCUAAUAUGGUAGAUGAUAUAUUUUUCUUAGUUUGUUUGUUUGAUUAUUAAAUCCAUACUUUUGUUGCUUCUCCUUUGCAUAAAGUCUUUGAUAGCUCUGUUUUGUUGUAGGAAUUGGAAUUAUACUUUUUGGGUUAUAUACUUAUUUUUAUGCUCUUCAUCUUGCAUAGGAAUUGAAUAAAUUGCUGGUUUUUGUUGAUUCUAAUGUUUGUAAGUGGGUUUUCAACAUCUAAUGCGUAGUAGUGAAGUCCACUAUAGGAAUUGACAUUCUGCUGUUGGAAAUAGUCUGUAAAACUAGUCACCCAAAAAUUUAUAAAAAAGAAGAAAGAAAGAGAAAGCAUUGCUAAGUACUCUUUGGAUUGCUCAUGUAUGGCUCAUGAUGCUCAUCCCUAGUUUAAUGCUUAGGCUUUGAAAUUCAUCUUAACGUGUUAUAUCUCCUUGAAAUAGAGGUUAGGCCUCUAGGCCUUAUAUUUAUUUUAGAUCAUUAUCAUUGUUGUCCAUUGUGAUUAAAAGUAUAUUAUUCUAAUCAUUUAAAACAUUAUGUUUUUCAUUGCAAACUUCUUUAGUUUAGUGAUGCUUGUAUAAUCCCUGAAUCCCACCCACCAGACCUUGAGGACAGAGAAGGGAUGUUCAGCAACAACUCGGGGAUGUGAGCAAGGAUUUUGAACUGCCUUGGAAAUGAAGCUAAUUAAGCUAGGCACAGCCCGUGGUUGAAGUUAUAAGCAUGGGGAAUGGUGUUGUGUUCUCCAGCGUGGUGUUCCACAGUGAUGAUGAUCUGAAUGAUUGACCUCCAAUUUCAUCUGUUUUUGCUUUAAUGUCCUCUGUUUUCUCCUCAUCAUCGGGCUGACAUUCAAGAAUUGGUAGGUGGGGAAUCAAAUCCUUAAAUUGAUCUCCAAAUGCAGUUUAAAAGAGCUCACACAUUGCAAGUGUCUUUGCUCUUUUCUAGAAAAGCAUAAUAGAAGAGUAGUUUAGAAGGGAGCUCUAUCCCAGCCAUAGGAAUCAAUCCACACUUUACGUGGGAACUUUGAGGACAGAAAAGUUCAGCAAGCAAUUGGAGAUGCAAGCAAGGAAUCUGAACUGCCUAGGAGUUCAAUUUCCUAUACUAUUUGCUGAGUUCAUGGCUUCAGCCUUCCCGCACAAUCAGCAACUUAUUUUCAAAGUACAUGAACGAAAUAAACUCUGGGUUCUGGUGGACUGGCACUGCAUAUCUCAACUCGACAUUACCUAUUGGAGAAGAGUUGUCUAUACUGGUGAAAUUGUUAGGCGGGGAUCCACCUCAAAUGGCCAUGUCUUACAUUCUGUUGCAAGUUGCUAUUGAGAAAGAUCCAGAAGCAGAAUGGCAAAGGUCAUUAGGGUGAACAACAAAGCUCCCUUUCUCUCCUCCCUAAAGCUUUGUCCUUUUCUCAAAGCUCUAUACUCAAUUCAUAGAUGCAAAAAUGCUUAUAGACGAGGCUCUACUCAACGUCAUGGAUGUCAAGAAGAAACAAUGUCAAGUGAUUCUUCUGUUAAAUUUCAUUUUUCUGAUCAUUAAUAAUCAAAGAUAAAAUAUUGCAGCUGAAAGACGCGCCGGAGUCUUAAUAUCUUGAAUCAGCCAGUUUACUAUAAGUCAAGUCAACAAGGUGGCUUUAGAAGCAAGUUGUUUAUAUAUUUAUGUUGUUCAUGUGUGUUGUGCUUUUGUGUGGAGCUGUAAUUAAAAAAUUCAAGCCUAAAUGGCUAGGGCAGCUAAUAUUCAAGUGCUUUUGGUCCUAUUGGCUUGGUUUAUGAAAGAUUGGUGCCCUGAAGUUUGAUUUGUAAUUGUGAUAAUCCUUUUCACAUUUGAGGAGUUAAUGAGAAGAUUCAAUUGUGUUCUAGAGCUAGAUGCAAUAAAAAGCUCUUGAAAAGUAUUUGUUCAUGUU